AGAAUCAACGCUGGCGGCGUGCCUAACACAUGCAAGUCGAACGAGAAAGUGGGAGCAAUCCCACGAGUAAAGUGGCGCACGGGUGAGUAACACGUGACUAACCUACCCUUGAGUGGGGGAUAACCUAGGGAAACCUGGGCUAAUACCGCAUAAUACCUACGGGUCAAAGGAGCAAUUCGCUUUAGGAGGGGGUCGCGGCAGAUUAGUUAGUUGGCGGGGUAAUGGCCCACCAAGACAGUGAUCUGUAUCCGGCCUGAGAGGGCGCACGGACACACUGGAACUGAAACACGGUCCAGACUCCUACGGGAGGCAGCAGUGGGGAAUUUUGCGCAAUGGGGGAAACCCUGACGCAGCAACGCCGCGUGGAGGAUGAAGCCCCUUGGGGCGUAAACUCCUUUCGAUCGGGAAGAUAAUGACGGUACCGGAAGAAGAAGCCCGGCUAACUUCGUGCCAGCAGCCGC
rnacentral:rRNA from 1 species